UGAGUCCUGGCCUGACCCACUGAUGGAGCACCUGUGGAAAGGACUUGGUCAGCCCUGUGAACACAGGUGAAGGCAUUUCAGCUGUGUGAAUGGAAGGGGUGGAGCUGCAUCUCUCUUAGACCUCAUUAAGGGGCUGACCCCCACUGGGGAAGGAUUUUCAACCAGUGGUGGAGUUUCUUUUGUGAGCCUGGAUCUUCAGAUGUGGAUGUGAUUACUGCUCUAGUGACACUUUCCUAUUCCCAAGGGAAAGCUGAUAGUUUUGGACCAGCAAAUAAUUGUCUUAAUCAUACCCGAAGUCUCCUCUUCAUGUUUCACAAUCGUGUAUCCACAUGCACGGGAUUUAUGUGAAUGCCGAGUCUCCAUAUGGCACAAUCCUGUGAUGUGUUCUGAAAACAUGUCCUGAUCAUCCAGCUAUCUUAGGAGCCUCUCAGUGAAGUUCAUGUUACAUCACAGCAGCACCCAGCACCUGUUGUCACUGAACAGUGUGGAACCUGGCUUUUCGGAUGUGACCUGGAAAAUGAUGCAGGGAUACAGGUGGCUGAGCAGAGGCCCUGGAAACAGCUGUCUCCAUCUUCUCAAUCUGCCGUGCAUAGAGUUGUAUGAGUGUCCCAGAUGAACCGUCCUCUAACAAUGAAAAACCAAAACUACACCACAGAUCCAGAGUUUCUUAGAGGAAUGCAAUCCUGGGGUACAGCAGGAUCACCCUGUUGGAGUACUUGAUGACAACCCCUAAGCUCUGGACCUGAGUGUGACUAACAGGAAAAUCUGUCUGCAGCGCUACAAGGAAUAAUUAAGCUGUAAAUUUCAUCUUUGUUUGCCAGUGUCUGAACUCCAAUAAUUAUACGUCGUAGCAGCUGAUUACCAGUAACUUUAAGGAGAUCUGCCUGCUGUGUUUUGUCUCCAGUUCUCCUUUGUUCUCCAGAUACUUUGAAAUGCAUUUCUGGGACUGGCGGGUAAGAGAGCUAACUUUCAGUAUUAU